ACUUUGGCCCCGGUGGCUCUAUCGGAUAGAGCGUUGAACUUCUAAUCCAAAGGUUACGGGUUCAAGUCCCGCCCAGAGUA
rnacentral:tRNA from 1 species